rnacentral:rRNA from 1 species
AUUGAACGCUGGCGGCAGGCCUAACACAUGCAAGUCGAGCGAGCGGCGGACGGGUGAGUAAUGUAUGGGGAUCUGCCUGAUGGAGGGGGCUAACUACUGGAAACGUUAGCUAAUACCGCAUACCAUCAGAUGAACCCAUCUGGGAUUAGCUGGUAGGUGUGGUAACGGCUCACCUAGGCGACGAGCCCUAGCUGGUCUGAGAGGGUGAUCAGCCACACUGGGACUGAGACACGGCCCAGACUCCUACGGGAGGCAGCAGUGGGGAAUAUUGCACAAUGGGCGCAAGCCUGAUGCAGCCAUGCCGCGUGUAUGAAGAAGGCCUUCGGGUUGUAAAGUACUUUCAGUCGGGAGGCGUUACCGACAGAAGAAGCACCGGCUAACUCCGUGCCAGCAGCCGCGGUAAUUC